rnacentral:misc_RNA from 1 species
AAAUGCGAUAAGUAAUGUGAAUUGCAGAAUUCAGUGAAUCAUCGAAUCUUUGAACGCACCUUGCGCUCCUUGGUAUUCCUUGGAGCAUGCCUGUUUGAGUAUCAUGAAAUCUUCAAAGUGAAUCUUUUGUUAACUCAAUUGGUUUCUACUUUGGUAUUGGAGGUCUUUGCAGCUUCACACCUGCUCCUCUUUGUUCAUUAGCUGGAUCUCAGUGUUAUGCUUGGUUCCACUCGGCGUGAUAAGUUAUCUAUCGCUGAGGACACUGUAAAAGGUGGCCAAGGUAAAUGCAGAUGAACCGCUUCUAAUAGUCCAUUGACUUGGACAAUACUUUUAUGAUCUGAUCUCAAAUCAGGUAGGACUACCCGCUGAACUUAAGC